CCGAAACCGAAUUAACCGGAACCGAAACCGAAUACACCGAAACCGAAUUAACCGGGACUAAUUUCGGUGCGUAAAUAUGAUAAACCGAUUUUUAUAAUUUAAAUUCGGUUUUGACAUCCGAUUGACCGAAAUAACCGUAUAAACCGAGAUAUAGGUGACACAGACAAAAACCUGAACGACACGAGAGCUCCAGACCUCUCAAUCUCGCAUGUCGUUCGUUUGUAGGAAGCCCAACACGCAAAAGCCCAACAGUUCACAAAGCCUACAAUUGCACGUACUAUGCAGCAGUCCAGCUCCAGCCCCACGCACGUAAAAGCUCACAUCUCCCUCUGAUUCCAUCCCUAAUUAAUCUCCUGAAUAUCCGACGUAAUUCCAUACUCUCCCUAUUCUCAUCUGCAGACUAGAGGUACAGCCGCCAGAUCGCAUCUUGGUACCGUAGUUGGCCGGCGUGCAACGUCAUCUCUGUCGACUCCGGCCGGCCGACGCAGUGAGUCGAAUACAUCGAGAUGUCAAGUGAAGAGAUGGAGAUGGGAAACGGGAGUGAGUCCGACCAUGACAUUCACGUCCAGAACCAGGAGAAUGAGGUUCCUGAGGACAAUGACGAUGGGAAGGAGAUUGUGCUGGUCGAUGAUGAGGCAACGGAGGGGUUACAGAAGGAAGAGGAAGCGGCUGCUGCUAACAAGGAUAAGGAGGAUGGUGAUGCUCAGACAGGAAGAAAAGAGAUGGCAGC